rnacentral:rRNA from 1 species
GUGAGGAAUAUUGGUCAAUGGGCGGGAGCCUGAACCAGCCAAGUCGCGUGAAGGAAGAAGGAUCUAUGGUUCGUAAACUUCUUUUGCAGGGGAAUAAAGUGCAGGACGUGUCCUGUUUUGUAUGUACCCUGAGAAUAAGGAUCGGCUAACUCCGUGCCAGCAGCCGCGGUAAUACGGAGGAUCCGAGCGUUAUCCGGAUGUAUUGGGUUUAAAGGGUGCGUAGGUGGUUUGAUAAGUCAGCGGUGAAAGUUUGCAGCUUAACUGUAAAAAUGCCGUUGAAACUGUCGGACUUGAGUGUAAAGGAGGUAGGCGGAAUGCGUGGUGUAGCGGUGAAAUGCAUAGAUAUCACGCAGAACUCCGAUUGCGAAGGCAGCUUACUAAGCUACAACUGACACUGAAGCACGAAAGCGUGGGGAUCAAACAGGAUUAGAAACCCUUGUAGUCC